rnacentral:rRNA from 1 species
UACGGAGGGUGCAAGCGUUAUCCGGAUUUACUGGGUUUAAAGGGUGUGUAGGCGGGCCAUUAAGUCAGGGGUGAAAAUCCCGGAGCUCAACUCCGGAACUGCCUUUGAUACUAUUGGUCUUGAAUGUUGUUGAGGUGGGCGGAACGGGUCAUGUAGCGGUGAAAUGCAUAGAUAUGACCCGGAACACCGAUUGCGAAGGCAGCCCGCUAAGCAACUAUUGACGCUGAGGCACGAAAGCGUGGGGAUCAAACAGG